GUAUUACAACAGCAGACGGAGGCCAUAGCAAGGCUGGGCAAUGUGUUGAAGCGAGAUAUCAGGGAUAUGGAGAUAAUAAUGGCUGAAGACACGGAUAUGACAGAAGAUGGGAGCUAGAAUGAUGAUAAAUCUCUGAUGAUUCUUUGAUGUUGUUUUCAAGUUUUAUAGUUGGAUUAGAUAGGAAUUCAAAGAUUGCUGUUUUCACUUUUUCUCACCAAUAUUCAUCAGUGAUGCAAGAGAGUGAUGAUCAAUUCUAUGGUCUUGGGAGUUCUAGGAACUUCCAUAUUGAUCCUAUACAAAUAGGAACUUCCACCUGAGGAGGAUCAAGG
rnacentral:lncRNA from 1 species